rnacentral:rRNA from 1 species
UAUGUGAUCGUCUCUCGCAUAUCAAUAAGCGGAGGAAAAGAAACUAACAAGGAUUCCCCUAGUAACGGCGAGUGAAGCGGGAAGAGCUCAAAUUUGAAAUCUUAAAGGGUUUCCCUUUACGAAUUGUAGUUUAAAGAAGUGUUUUCUGUUGAGGUUUUGGUAAAAGUUCUUUGGAAUAGGACAUCAUAGAGGGUGAGAAUCCCGUAUUUGACCUUUACUUUCAACUUCGUGAUACACUUUCAAAGAGUCGGAUUGUUUGGGAAUGCAGUCCAAAAUGGGUGGUAAGUUUCAUCUAAAGCUAAAUAUUGGCGAGAGACCGAUAGCGAACAAGUACCGUGAGGGAAAGAUGAAAAGAACUUUGAAAAGAGAGUUAAACAGUACGUGAAAUUGUCAAAAGGGAAGCGUUUGACACCAGUGUUGUUUUUCUGAAAAUCAAUUAAAGAACUGUUUAUGCUAAGUUGUUUAGACUUUAUCUGCUAACUGUUUAGUUUUGAGCUUUUCUUUAAUGCACUUUUCAGUUAACAAGUCAACAUCAAUUUCUUUUGCUGUAAAAAAGCUUGAGGAAGGUGGCUUGAGAUUCGUCUUAAGUGUUUAUAGCCUCUUGCCUAUGCAGUCGGAGAGAUUGAGGUCUGCAGCGUAGAUCCUUCGGGGCUAAAUGCAUUUGUGCUAAGUUAUAGCAUUUUAUAGACAACUCGUUGACUAUGAUUUGUCUUGUAGCUUACUCGCUUAUGUUAUUUUACCUACGCUUAGGAUGUUGAUCUACAGAGCGAGAGU